rnacentral:rRNA from 1 species
UGGUGGAGUGAUUUGUCUGGUUAAUUCCGUUAACGAACGAGACCUCGACCUGCUAAAUAGUUCUGCGAACCCCUCGCGGGUUGGUACGGACUUCUUAGAGGGACUAUCGGUGGUAAGCCGGUGGAAGUUCGAGGCGAAAACA